rnacentral:rRNA from 1 species
AACGCGAAGAACCUUACCUGGGCUCGAAAUGCUAAGGACCAGCUUAUGAAAGUAGGCCUUCCCGCAAGGGAUCUUAGUAUAGGUGCUGCAUGGCUGUCGUCAGCUCGUGUCGUGAGAUGUUGGGUUAAGUCCCGCAACGAGCGCAACCCUUGUCCUGUGUUGCCAUACCGAAAGGUGGAACUCGCAGGAGACCGCCAGGGAUAACCUGGAGGAAGGUGGGGAUGACGUCAAGUCCUCAUGGCCUUUAUGUCCAGGGCUACACACGUGCUACAAUGGACGGUACAGAGGGAUGCGAACCCGCGAGGGGGAGCUAAUCUCAAAAAGCCGUUCUCAGUUCGGAUUGGAGUCUGCAACUCGACUCCAUGAAGUUGGAAUCGCUAGUAAUCGCGGAUCAGCACGCCGCGGUGAAUACGUUCCCGGGCCUUGUACACACCGGCUAC